rnacentral:rRNA from 1 species
GUUGUCAUGCCAAUGGCAUUGCCCGGUAGCUAAAUGCGGAAGAGAUAAGUGCUGAAAGCAUCUAAGCACGAAACUUGCCCCGAGAUGAGUUCUCCCUGACCCUUUAAGGGUCCUGAAGGAACGUUGAAGACGACGACGUUGAUAGGUCGGGUGUGUAAGCGUAGCGAUACGUUGAGCUAACCGAUACUAAUGAACCGUGAGGCUUAACCUUACAACGCCGAAGGUGUUU